rnacentral:hammerhead_ribozyme from 1 species
GCACUGCUGACGAGUCCCAAACAGAAGGAAAGAGCUGUCCAGUGU